AAACCACGGAAAGCAGAACCAUGGAUAAGGGAGAUGGAGAAGCCUUCUGUACAGGAUCCAUCUAGAACAUCCAGGACUAUAUUUAGUCCUCAUGUGUCUUUCGGCUUCCCUUGGUUGCAACAGGUUCUUAGACUUGCGUUGUUGAUGAUGACCUUGACAAUUUGAGGAGUAUUGAGAGAGAUGGAAUGCACAAGUUGGAGCGGGAAAAACAGAAUCUUAAGUAGGCUCCACUCUCAUCCCUGAACCCAAUGCAGGGCUCUGUCUCACUGGCCUGAGAGCAUGACCUGAGCUGAAUCAAGUAUUAGACACUUAACUGACUGAGCCACCCAGGUGCCCCUCUUUUUAUUGUAUCUAUAUGAGAUGAUGAAUGCAAACUAAACUUAUUGUGGUAAUCAU